AGCGAACGCUGGCGGCAGGCCUAACACAUGCAAGUCGAACGGACCCUUCGGGGUUAGUGGCGGGCGGGUGAGUAACACGUGGGAACGUGCCCUUUGGUUCGGAACAACUCAGGGAAACUUGAGGUAAUACCGAAUGUGCCCUUCGGGGGAAAGAUUUAUCGCCAUUGGAGCGGCCCGCGUCUGAUUAGCUAGUUGGUGGGGUAAUGGCCUACCAAGGCUACGAUCAGUAGCUGGUCUGAGAGGAUGAUCAGCCACAUUGGGACUGAGACACGGCCCAAACUCCUACGGGAGGCAGCAGUGGGGAAUCUUGCGCAAUGGGCGAAAGCCUGACGCAGCCAUGCCGCGUGAAUGAUGAAGGUCUUAGGAUUGUAAAAUUCUUUCACCGGGGACGAUAAUGACGGUACCCGGAGAAGAAGCCCCGGCUAACUUCGUGCCAGCCGCCGCGGUAAGAC
rnacentral:rRNA from 1 species